UACGGGGGGGGCAAGCGUUGUUCGGAAUUACUGGGCGUAAAGGGCUCGCAGGCGGCCGACUAAGUCAGACGUGAAAUCCCUUGGCUUAACCAAGGAAUGGCGUCUGAUACUGGACGGCUUGAAUUCGGGAGAGGGAUGUGGAAUUCCAGGUGUAGCGGUGAAAUGCGUAGAUAUCUGGAGGAACACCGGUGGCGAAGGCGGCAUCCUGGACCGAUAUUGACGCUGAGGAGCGAAAGCGUGGGGAGCGAACAGG
rnacentral:rRNA from 1 species